ACUACUAGUCCUAGUGGUGUGCCUGAUUGGACUUUGUUCUUCCAUUCCUGUGUCUGAGGAACAUGAUCGAGAGGAGCGCUCAGCUAGCGAUGAGAUGUUCAGGGGUUAUGGGCAUGGUUUGGGAGGGUUUUACCCCUAUCAGCAGCCUCAGUACCCAUCCUAC